GACGAACGCUGGCGGCGUGCUUAACACAUGCAAGUCGAACGGAAAGGCCCUGCUUUUGUGGGGUGCUCGAGUGGCGAACGGGUGAGUAACACGUGAGUAACCUGCCCUUGACUUUGGGAUAACUUCAGGAAACUGGGGCUAAUAUCGGAUAGGAGCUCCUGCUGCAUGGUGGGGGUUGGAAAGUUUCGGCGGUUGGGGAUGGACUCGAGGCUUAUCAGCUUGUUGGUGGGGUAGUGGCUUACCAAGGCUUUGACGGGUAGCCGGCCUGAGAGGGUGACCGGCCACAUUGGGCCUGAGAUACGGCCCAGACUCCUACGUGAGGCAGCGGUGGGGAAUAUUGCACAAUGGGCGGAAGCCUGAUGCAGCAACGCCGCGUGCGGGAUGUAGGCCUUCGGGUUGUAAACCGCUUUCGCCUGUGACGAAGCGUGAGUGACGGUAAUGGGUAAAGAAGCACCGGCUAACUACGUG
rnacentral:rRNA from 1 species